rnacentral:rRNA from 1 species
AGAACGAACGCUGGCGGCACGCCUAACACAUGCAAGUCGAGCGCCCAGCAAUGGGAGCGGCGGACGGGUGAGUAACACGUGGGAACAUGCCUUUCGGUACGGAACAACUGCGGGAAACUGCAGCUAAUGCCGUAUACGCCCUUACGGGGAAAGAUUUAUCGCCGAAAGAUUGGCCCGCGUCUGAUUAGCUAGUUGGUGAGGUAACGGCUCACCAAGGCUUCGAUCAGUAGCUGGUUUGAGAGAACGACCAGCCACAUUGGGACUGAGACACGGCCCAAACUCCUACGGGAGGCAGCAGUGGGGAAUCUUGGACAAUGGGGAAACCCUGAUCCAGCGAUGCCGCGUGAGUGAUGAAGGCCUUCGGGUUGUAAAACUCUUUCGACGGGACGAUAAUGACGGUACCCGUAGAAGAAGCUCCGGCUAACUUCGUGCCAGCAGCCGC